GAAGUAGGCUGGGUAGUUGCGAGGGCACGUCCGCAAGGAGGUCCUCGAGGAAAGUCCGAGCUCCACAGGGCAGGGUGCUGGGUAACACCCAGUGGGGGUAACCCUAAGGAAAGUGCCACAGAAAUAAACCGCCUGCGUAUUGGAGGUUGGAGGUUAGAGGUUGGAAGUUGGAAAACCCCUUCCAGAACCUGAAUAAAUUUUUCAACCAGUUUCUUAUUUCUAACCUCGAACUUCUAACCUCCAACCUCCAAUACGGGUAAGGGUGCAACGGUGCGGUAAGAGCGCACCAGCGGCCAGGCGACUGGUCGGCUAGGUAAACCCCACCAGGAGCAAGACCAAAUAGGAGAGGUAUGAAGCGGCCCGCUGAUCUCUCGGGUUAGGUCGCUGGAGGUGUCAGGCAACUGGCACCCUAGAUAGAUAACUACUCAAGACAGAACUCGGCUUACAGGCCUACUUCAAGC
rnacentral:RNase_P_RNA from 1 species